rnacentral:rRNA from 1 species
GCUCACGAGAUCACUGAUCACCAAGGCGACGAUCAGUAAGCCGGCCUGACAGAGUGACUGAGACACAUUGGGAGAGAGACACGGGAGGCAGCAGUACGGGAGGCAGCAGUGGGGAAUAAAUCACAAUGGGGGAAACCCUGAUGCAGGAACGCCGCCUGAGUGAAGAAGUAUUUCGGUAUGUAAAAGCAAUCAGCAGGGAAGAAAUUGACGGUACCUGACUAAGAAGCCCGGAUUAACUAAGUGCCAGCCGGCAGGGUAAUAAAUAGGGGGCAUGCGUUAUCCGUCUUUAAUGGGUGUAAAGGGAGGGUGGGUGGCAGGUCAUUUCAGUUAUGAAAGAAAGGGGCUCAACCCCGGGAUUGCAUUUGAAAGAUAUAUGUUAGAUUGCAGGAGAGGUAAGUGGAAUUCCUAGUGUAGCGGUGAAAUGCGUAGAUAUUAGGAGGAACACCAGUGGAGAAGGCGGCUUACUGGACUGUACAUGACAGAGAGGCUGGCAAGCGUGGGGAGCAAACAACAGGAUUACCAUGGUAGUUCUCCACGUAAAAAAUGAAUAUUAGGUGCGGGGGGCAAAACCCAUUCGGU